rnacentral:lncRNA from 1 species
AAGGCACGAUCACCAUCGCAGAUCUAAAUCAUGGCUAAGGUAAGUACAUCUGUUCACUGUUCUCAACUUUCUAAACUAAUCUCUGCUGUGAGAAUUUUGGUUAUAGGCCAAGCUGAACAAGCCCAACCAAUACCUCAAGGUUUCAAUACUGAUCUUUAUGAGAAAUUAAAGGCUUUGCAACGUCUCCAACACGAAGUCGAUCAAAUGGCCCAAAAAGCACUUGCAUUUGAAGGACCCUAUGGAC